AGGUUGAUGGUGAGACCCGCCUUCUGAAGACGAUCAGCGACAAUCCGGAUCCGGUCCAGGUGGUCCUCGAAGGUGUUCGACAGGAUAAUGAUGUCAUCGAGGCUUCCCUGAAGUUUCUCGAGCGGAUAACUGGAAAGGAGGAGAGGGUACACGCCUCGCUGGAGGUUGAUCCUGCGAAAUCCGUAACAUCUCCGAAUCCCGACGCAAAUCAACCUUGGCCACUUGUUCGGCCAAAUCAUCUACGGCUUCUGGAAGGACCGAUGCGCCGUUGGCUUGCUGCCUCAUCAUAUGUUCUAGACACGCGCGAAUGUUCAUUCUGAAUCGUCGGCGUUGGAGACGAUGUAGCUGCUGAACGGCCCAUGUUCCCUGGUUGAGGCUGCUGCUGCGGCGGGAGUGGAUGCGCACUCCCAGACGUCGGUUCAAACAAGGUUCGCGCAAAGCCACCGAGGGGUGGCGCCUUUCGCCUUGGAUCCUCCAAUAUGGCAAGCGUCGAGUUGUCCACGCCAGCGGCGGCCGAUUGCUCCCAUCGCUGUGGAUUCGACAUCGGUCUUCCCAACUCGGACUGCCUUGUUGCCGCUGGGGAGAAUCCGGACAGCCAUUGGUUAUAACUCGAUUGACCUCUAGGGGCCGGUACUGGGGCAGCCAACAGAUCACGAGAUGCUUUCGGUUUGGUCCCAGUAUACGGAUUAAGCGAAGGCUGCAGCGUCCUUUGAGUCGUUGUGGACGACACGAACGACGCGCGCGGAAGACGAUCGUCAAGAAUUCCGCCAACUGCUCCUUCCUCGAAAUCCGUCGUCAGAUCCACUAACUCCUGGGCCAACUGUCCCGGAGUCGCGGUGGCCAAAUUCGAAUGCACCGUAUGGAUUCGCAUCAGGGGAACCUGUCGGCAGACAUGGGCUAAAUCAAUGUUGUAGUACCUUCUUGAGAGUCGCUCGAUGCUGUCCAACAACGCCUUCCGCUGCUGCCGAUGUUCUUCCGUUCCCGGCGAGUAUCGUCGAAGUCGCUUGUGAUAGUGAACCAGUCGAGAGUAGCAAUCAUCAUCAAGAUUAGCAUCCAGACAACGCUCCAUUUCCUUCAGCUGUCUCGGGAUCUUCACCAAGUCCUCCGCUAGCGAAUACGUCGAAAAAUGUACUUCUACCGGAUCCUCGGGUUUUUGCAGCAAAGCACGCAAAUUCUGCUGGCGCUCGCGUAAUCCACCACGAACAGGUGUGGCACGAAGGCAAAAUUCAUACUCCAUUUCAUCCUCUUUGAGGCUGCAUGGGUCACUUAUGUAAACGUGAUCCAUUGUUUUGAUUCCAACUAACACUUUUGAAAUAACUCCUCAACAAUGAUCGAAAAUAUAUUAAAACAAAAUCCAACGAAAUCUCAAAUUAAUAGUAAUCAAACCGAAAUAGGGUGACUGCGAAUCAAAUUUAGGUCUAUUACGGUGGUGGAACAAAAUAUUUGAAUUGUAUUUGGUAUAUUGCAAACGAAAUGAUGGAAUAUGAUUGUCUUGAAAUAAACUAUGCUCAAUAAUAGUUCAGAAAACCCAACAAACUUCUAACUGAGUACCCAAACUAAACCCAACUUUGAGACAUAGUAGAACUAUUGCCACUAUUGCUCGGCCCCACGUUGGGCGCCAAAAUGUAACGGAUUGUUUUGUUCCUCGACUAUCAACAGUUUUGACACCGAAGGUGUCGCGCCACUCCCGGGGAUCGAGAGACUGCUGAAGCUGUUUUUAGAGACCCGGCAAAGACUCUAAGGGCGGGUUAAUAGAGGCUCAAACACCAGAACACAGAUACCUCCCGAGGGACCAAUUAAUUUGCACUAGAUGUUAACGUAAUAAUACCAGAAAUAAUCAGAAACUAAACUCAAAUUUGUGUGCGAUAAUUCAUGUAUUUGACCCGCUUAACCCACGUUGUCCACGCAAAUCGGCCACCCAAUUCAGUUACCAAACACGCUGGAUGGUUUGACGGACCAGCAUUUAGGCUUAUAUUGCGUUUUAGCUUAACAAUAUGGGUUGUGACGUCACGCCUAAUCUUACCAACUAACAAGUUUGUUUGAGCUCAGGGUAAAAAAAAAUAACUUUUCAGAUCUGACCUUAAUCCUUGGGCGAAGGGACCGGAACACUCCGACGGCAAUCUCCAACGGCAAUCUCCAACGGCAAUCUCGAUCGCGAUGCCCCGCGCCAGGUAUGGCACAGGUAGGCACGCGCGUGUGCACGCGCUGCGCAAACCGGUUUCCGAUUUUUACUACCAGAUGGCAGUACGCUUCCUCGAGCGUGCGACGUUUCCGCGCGCGACCCAGCUCCUGGUCUCCGCUGCGACAGCACCGGUUACUCCCGACGGGUAGUCCACCCGCAGUCCUCAGACGUUUGAGGAGUAGAAUUUCACGUGAAAAGUUUCCUAAUUUCCACUGAGCGACCGGAAGGGGGUUGCAAAGCCGGAAAAUGAGCGUAUCGGCUGGUCGCUCGCAGUCAGUGGUCGUCAAGCACUCGAAAUCACCGCGUGUUCACACUUUUGGACGAUGGCGAGCACGUGUUUCGAUGGUUUUGUUGCCUCCAAACGACAAUUGGACAACAAUAUUCGCAAGAUGGCCGACCGGGCCUACAAUUUGAGCGUCCUAGGUUGCGUUGCGGUGCUCAAAUGGGCCAAAUCUCCUCCACGAGGCCAAUCCGCGUGCCUCACCGGCAAUGCUCGUCCGCGAACGGGCCAAUCGUGAUGUUCAGCUGGCAAUCGGUCGUGCCCCAACUCGCACCCACGCUGGGAGGUGGGCAAAUUCACCUGUCCAACGUUAAUUCACACGUUUUAGUCGCAAAAUCUUCACAAUUGAUGCCGCCAGGGCUUCUUACCUUCGGAAAGUCGCAAAGAACACACCCGCGAAGGUCAGAGGAGAUGCCGGAGAUUAACUAAUGGGCCUAAAGAGCAAACAUUCUAAGUUUUCUUAACAUUUACACCAGGAAUUCACAAUCUUACGGUUUUGUAACAGGUUUUAAGCUUCGGUAGGCUUUUCUACCGGGUUUGCCCUAGUCAAUCCUUGGCUAAUGACACUUUAAACUAACUUAGUGCCACAGAGGUCGGUCUAGCAACUUUACUGGUUGACGGUCUUCACGUGAAAAGAUAGAAAAAGUCCCGCGAGGAUCUAAAGGCCUCGACAAGAUCGCUCUCACACAGAAAUGGAGCAAAUUGGAGGCUAGUUCCAUCUCAUUCUGGCAUCAGGGAAAAUGGGGCCUUUGUGAGGAGUUUUUUCGGGCUCUUUUAUAAAGGUCGAGUCCCGCUCCCGUUUCCUUUUAAAUCGUAUUUCUUUAUUUCUUUAGGCAAAUUUGGUAGGUCACUCGACAGUUAAAUGAGAUCUCGUGGAACGUAUAGUAGAGAUCUCACGCGAAGCUUUUCAGUAAUCUCCCUACCUCGAGCGUGCGAC